UACGUAGGUGGCGAGCGUUGUCCGGAUUUACUGGGCGUAAAGAGCGCGCAGGCGGUCGUACAAGUCGCGUGUGAAAGCCCCCGGCUCAACUGGGGAGGGUCACGCGAUACUGUUCGACUCGAAGGCAGGAGAGGGAAGUGGAAUUCCCGGUGUAGUGGUGAAAUGCGUAGAUAUCGGCAGGAACACCAAGGACGAAGGUAGCGAACCUGGGCAUUCCCUGACACUCAUGUACGACAGCGUGGGGAGCGAACCGG
rnacentral:rRNA from 1 species